GGGCUCAUAGCUCAUUUGGUAGAGCGCCACAUUCGCAUUGUGGAGGUAGAGGGUUCGAAUCCCUCUGAGUCCA
rnacentral:tRNA from 1 species